AGUAAAAUUGCCAAUAAUUUUUUCGGGCAGUGUAUGUACACACAUAGAAAAAAAGCAAGGCGGGCAUACCAAAUUGGUACAUAUUACCAAUGGAGAAAUGCUAAAGUCUUAAUAUAAAAUCAGAGAUUGCCAGAAGAAUAUAAACCUAGGAAUCAACAGAACAAGUACAUACUAAUGGGUGAGAAUGUGGAUCGCGAAAGUGAGCCAAUUCAUGAAGGAUUGCUGCAAGAGAGUAAAGAAAUCGAGUUUGCAGAGGAAACAAUACUUAAAUUAGAGGUGGAAAUUUUGACGCCUUUUUCUGAGGAAGAUAAUGGAACAGAUAAUAUACUGAAUGAGUUUGAAAUAAAUAAAACGUUGUAUAAUGCGAAAAAGAAAGAUUGUCAAAUGGUGGAAACGACAAAUUCUGUCACGCGGAGAUUUUUUCAGUUACGUAGUACUGAUCCGUUCAUUAUAUUGGGAUUUAUUGAUAUUGUUCGCCGACAUCCUUGCCAUUGGAAUUCGCUGGACUACGACUUUGGACACAAAGACAAAAGGGAUGAAAGCUCGAAGAUCAUUUGUAGAGAACUGAGGGACCUGUAUAACAUAUGCAUAUCUCCACAAUUAGCCCGAUCAAGCAUACUUUCUCUGAUUCGGUGGUUUGAACGUGAAUAUCUCCGUUCGGUGCAGCUGAGUAAGACAAAUACUUCUAAAAGAGGUCGUUGGAGCCGUAAUGGAUAUGUAUGUGCGCAUCCCGAAUAUUUUAACAAAUUACUGGAAUUUGUUCCAAACAAUCAUUUACAACUUCUCUGCUGUGAUAAAUGUCAGCGGAUGUUCAAGACGCAAACUCAAUUUUUGAUACAUUAUCACCAUGCUCAUGGAGGCGAUGCACCAUUCAAGUGCCAUCAUUGUAGUCGUUCAUUUUUGUAUUCUUCUACUUGGAAACGUCACGAAAAUAGGCAUACUAUGAGAUAUAUAUGGAGUUGUCUAUUAUGCCGGCACAUUAGCUCUACAAAAACAGAUUAUAACUUACAUAUGGUGGCACAUACCGACGUUCGUGCAUACGUUUGUGAUCUGUGCGGAGCGUCUUAUAAGAGUAGCACAAGUUUAAAUGUCCAUUUGCGAACGCAUGAGCCACCAAGAUUACAAUGUAAUAUAUGUUUUAAGAAAUUUUACGAAAAUUAUCGCCUUAAACGACAUUUGUUGAUUCAUGAAGCUGAAGCUUCCGUAAAAGCGAAUAUGAAGGGUUAGCCUAAAUUUCUUCUAAAACCUAUUGUUUUAUGGUCAGAAGCAAAAAUCUCGAGACAAAUUUUACCAAAACGUUUUUUAAUGAGCCUUGAUGAAUAUAUCUAUAGGGCAAGGUGUGGCGCCUACCAGUUUCAGUAACACUAGCAAGUAUACACCGCGAAUGGAACAUUAUACUAAAGCCGGACAUGGGAGAUUAUUGCUUUUGAGAAUAAAAUAUUAGUCAAAUAUGUAGAUAGAAGAUCAUUUCGUCGCUGGAAUAAAGAAACAGUGUAAAUGCCAUAUACACUAUUAUUCGAUAAUCGUACCAUUAAUCUAUUAGAAAAAUCUUUAGCUUUUUUAAAUAUCUUUUUGGAUCACGAACUUAUUCGUGAAAAACGUUAUUUUAUAAUAACAGUGUAGGUACUACAAUUGUUUACAAAUAGUGUAUAGGGCACUUGGACUAUUGUUAAGAAGA
rnacentral:misc_RNA from 1 species